CUGACAAGUGCCCCACAUAUUUCUAAGUCAACUUCAAAGCCCUGGGCUGAUGGGGGAAAAUAAUUCCAUUUAAGUGGAAAACAGUUGUGAAAUAUUUCUAAGGACAAAACAUCCUGUGAACGAAGUGCAGUAUCCCUCACAGAUAAAUUCACACAGGCUCUGGCUCGUGCCGAAGGAAGGCAUCACCUGUCUCAUCACCUGAAGGGAUGUUGAUGGACAACAUUUCUGCUUCUCCCACCAGACAAACAACUUUAUCCUCACCCUGCUUGCUGAAAAGCCUGCAGCUCUUGCCGGCUGCCCCAGCGGUUUGGGGUGCUGAGGGCAUGGCCAGGAGAAGGCAGUGGGGCAGCAUGGGAGAAGAGAAGGAGGAGGAGGAG